rnacentral:rRNA from 1 species
CAAUAGCGUAUAUUAAAGUUGUUGCAGUUAAAAAGCUCGUAGUUGGAUUUGUGGCGUACGGUGUGUUCCGGGCACUUGUUGUCUGAGUAACCUGCUGUUGCCAUCCUUGGGUGGAACCUGUAUGGCAUUAGGUUGUCGUGCAGGGGAUGCCCAUCAUUUACUGUGAAAAAAUUAGAGUGUUCAAAGCAGGCUUAUGCCGUUGAAUAUAUUAGCAUGGAAUAAUGAGAUAGGACUUUUUUGCUAUUUUGUUGGUUUGCGCAAAGAGGUAAUGAUUAAUAGGGACAGUUGGGGGUAUUCGUAUUCCAUUGUCAGAGGUGAAAUUCUUGGAUUUUUGGAAGACGAACUACUGCGAAAGCAUUUACCAAGGAUGUUUUCAUUAA